UGUCUAGAAGACGUCUUAUCCUUUUGGGGCUCGGUCUUAUCCCCAUCUACAGUUUCCCGAGGCGAAAAAGGGCGAGUGCGAGGCGACCGUGGUUCCUGGCGGCGAUUCCGCCGGCUCUCUCCCUCUCCGGCGGUUGGUCCGGCACCGGAGAGGAUGGGGAACCGGGGAAUCGCCGUGUGGGUGUAUAUAGGGUAGGCUUUCUUAGAUCUAGCUCUAGGUUUUGCUCCCUGUCGGAUGCGGCGGCGGAGCUUCGUCUUUCGGUUGGGCUGUCGUGGCUCUUCGCCGGCGAAUAAGAAGUCGUCCUAAGUUGCGCUGGGAGCUGGAGCUCUGCGUGUUCGUCUGGUUGGCGGCCGCGGCAUCAGCUCUUCUGCGCCUGCUCCUCCUCCUCCUGCUGACUGCUGCUGCUGUUGGUGGUGAGGUGAUGAGCUUUUUGUUCCUUGCCGGCGAUUUGGGUAUGUCUUCUUCCUUGAAUCUUCCGGUGAGGAGUGUAUGCCAACUCGCUCAGAAACCGGGUUGGGUUUUCGUUACCACCUUCUUUGGUGGUUCUAGUCCCCUUCGGGGUGAUUGUCGUCCGGCGAGCUGAGGUCCUUAGCGGAGGCGUCAGAUUCCUCAGUGCUUGGCGAUGUGAUUUGGCUGGGUCGUUCAGUGUUCUCAAGGCAUGUCGGAGUUGAUGUGCUGCUCAAGACGGCAACAAAACUCUACUUUCCAUUCCCAGGGAGGCGGUCGGCUUCAAGCUCUGCGCUCCGGCCACCGGCAGCGAUGAAGACCGGUAGAAGUUUACAGGGACUAGUUUGUAAUUUUCUUUUCUCUCAAGGGAGUCCUUGUAAGAUUUGGGCUGUAACCACCAAGUUGUUUAUAUGAAAUAUAAUCCCGGUUUCUCAAAAAAAUAAAAUUCUAUAGGACGUCCUACUCAUAGUCAUGAGCACUGUUUGAGAUCUGUGCAACCCUAAAUCGGAGGAUGCUUGUUCAUCUCUGUUCAAUCCUCUCUCUCCACUCGGGCCUCCUCGAGUGGCACCGCCACCGCUCCUCUGGCUAGCCAUCGCCUCCUCCUCCCGCCGGCCCGCCGCCGCCUCCCUUGAGUUUUUUUUAUUUUUUGUUUUUAGUUUUAGAUUUUUUAAUUUUUAAAAAAGAAUCUAGAUAUUUUGCACAAAAUAAAAUGUUGCAUAAUUUUUUUUUGAAUAAUAUUCCUCGUAAUAUCUCAGAAAAAUAUUCUAGAAAAAUAUUUUGAAAAAAUGUUCCGGAACAAUAUCCGGGAACAUUUGAUUUGUACCGAAAAAACGUUCCUGAACAUUUGAUUUUUGUUCCAAAAAAAGUUUCUUUAAAAUAUUCCAGAAAAAUCUUCCGGAACAUUUGAUUUUGUCCCAAAAAAAUGUUCCAGAAAAACCUUCCGGAACAUUUGACUUUAUCUCGGAAAAAUGUUCCAGAACAUUGGUAGAGAACAUUUAUUUUGAAACGAAUAUUAUUUUGCUUUCUCAUGAUGGGCCUAUUUAGGAUAACCUAAUGGGCCUAAAUGGGCUGUCCUACUCAUAGCAAUGAGUAGGAGGACAUUCUAUGGAUAGGAGGUCCGAUCCCCUCCACGCCUCCAAGUCCUUCUCCAAGCCCUUGCGGGUCCUCUCCUUGAUUCCUCAGCAUAAUAUAAUCAUUAGGUAGCAAUCUAUUCUCAAAAUCAUAAAAAGAAUUGCUUAGGAACGAGCUCACCUCUAAAUUUAAUUGUCGCGCGCGAACUCGAGUGAUUGGACCUUGUAUGUCCAGCGGAGUGUGUAUCCGAAGGAGUGAUGGCCUCAUCAAGGUAGGGGUGUGUUUAGUCUUUUCUGGCAAGUUUUCGAUGGCUCUCAUCUUCGACUUGAGCGAGUUCCCCGUGGGGCUUCGGAUCCCUGGAGUUCUCCACCGACUCGCAGGGAAAGCUGUCCUUGACCGAUGUUGGCGUUUACUAUGCCACUCUUAGAUAAGAUCCGCAAAUGCAGCACUUGACUCGGGAGUAUUCCAGAGUAUCGAUUUCCACGAGGAAGCUCAAUGGUAUAGAAUAGUCGAAGAUAAGAUAGGAGUAGUAGAUAAAUGACCCACUAUACUUAAGCAGCAGGGGGAUAACUAGAUCGGUUUAGGAUAAGAUGACACUGGAUAAAACACUACCCUAGGGUAGAGCGGAGAGAGCUGCUGGGAGGACAGCGAGUUGAGCUAAGGUUCCUAUACUCUACUUGUACAGAGAGAAAAGAUACGCCAGAGAGAAGCACAGGAAAGCCAAGAGAAAGAAGGGCGGGCUGUCAGGACGACCUUCUCCUACUAACGGGCAGAAUCAGUCUGCCAACCACUAAGCUCAACCCAACUACACCAAGUCUAAAGUGUGGAUUUCAAGGGAUAGACAGGGCUGUCACCGUCUGUUGAUAUUCCGAAUGCAGCCCUGGGAGUGCUGGGUUCACCUCCGUGCGGCACAGAAAGCAGGCCGACGCCCACCCUGCAAUCGGCCCCACGGCACGUCGCCGCACCGCCUCCAGCAAAUCGGGCCAAGGCGACGGUGCGCACGGUGCCCGGGGGCCGCGGCGGCGGCCAAGUCGUCGGUUGCUGGCCAAGAGCUCGGCGGCGCGUCGUUGCUCAGCGUCUCUACGGCUUCCUCCGGCCUGUCGUCGUGCUCGGCGCUCCUGCGCGCCGUCACCGACCAGCCGCCCUCGCCCCUUUGCUGUGCCCCGCUGCUGCCCUCGCUGCGGAUGCCGCCAUCGUCGCUAUAUUUCGGCAGCUGCCGUCGGCGCCGCGGCCGAGGUACGCGCGGCCUCUCUGCCGCCACCGUCCGUGCUGCCCCUCCGCCGCCGCUGCCCGUCGCUGGGCCCCGCCGCCACCGCUCGCCGCCUCUGCGCCCGUGCGCCAUCGCCGCCGGCCGAUAACUCCAUGCCUCGCCGUCUUUGCCCGACGCCCCGCGCCCCAUGCGCCAUCACCGCCUCCGCCCCUACGCCCUCCGGUGGAUCCAGGGCGCCGGAGCAGGACUGGCAUCUUUGGCUGCGGGCCAAGGACAAUAAGGAGAAGACAUGCGGCACCACGGCACAGAGCAGCGGUGGCCCAUGGUUGCCGGGCAUGGGUGAUGGAGGAGAGGGGUUGCUCGGAGUGCUCCGUGCACGCAAAAUUUAAUCAGCCCACGCAUGAAAGAUAGCUUGAAAAGGCACUGCAAGAUAUGCGCUGCGAAACAGCUGUUUCAUAUAAAGGUUUCAUAUGAAGCCAAAAUGUCUGAAGCCCUAACAGUGAUGGAGGCUGCAUAGAAAAAAAUUGAACAAGCUGAAGAGAGAGUUCUUGCAGCAAAAUCAUACGCCGGCGCGGGAGGGCUACGCGCGGUCGGGACUCAGCGGGAGGCGUCGGCCGAGCAGCAGCAGCAGUGACCGAAGCCCGCACAAGAGGCGGGAAGCUCUGGACCGAAUGAAGUGGCAGAUCAGUAGAUGUGUGCUUGUCAUUGUGUAGCGAGGUUUCUUUGUGUCUGAACAAUAAUCUUGCAUUAGGAACUGCACGAACUUGCAUGUUGUUCUACUUGUACUCCCCUGCUGAUAUUUUCUUUUUUUCCUGGCGCCUCCAUUCUAAAAUGUAUGCCACCGUUGAUUUUUUUAUAUGAACUUUGACCAUUCGUUUUAUUCAAAACAA